GACGAAGGAUGCAAGCGUUAUCCGGAUUCAUUGGGUUUAAAGGGAGCGUAGGCGGUCUUGUAAGUCAGUGGUGAAAUCUCGAGGCUUAACCUCGAAAUUGCCAUUGAUACUGCAGGACUUGAGUACAGUUGCCGUUGGCGGAAUAUGACAUGUAGUGGUGAAAUACAUAGAGAUGUCAUAGAACACCGAUUGCGAAGGCAGCUAACGAAACUGUAACUGACGCUGAGGCUCGAAAGUGUGGGGAUCAAACAGG
rnacentral:rRNA from 1 species